AGCAGAGUGGCGCAGUGGAAGUGUGCUGGGCCCAUAACCCAGCGGUCAAUGGAUCAAACCCAUCCUCUGUAA
rfam:Podiceps cristatus contig119919, whole genome shotgun sequence.